GAAUUCUGCCCUUUUAAAUAGUCACAAUUCACAUCACAUUAAUUCACAUCACAGAUCCAAAUCUGAAGACUGGAUACAGAAAUCCUUUCCAUGUAGCUUCAGAGCAUCUUGCUACAGGAGUGAACAGACCUUUAGGGGACCGAAAGGAUAAGAUAUCCCAGUCCGCAGGGGAUCGUUUUGGGCAUUUUGCAGGCAAAACUAUUUCAGAUCAGCAGCAGCUUGAGAAACCUUCACAUGAUGGAGCCCAGCCGCAAGCCGGAGCUGCUGUACCACUUUCCUUAGGGUGACGAGGUUGGAGCUGGUGGACAUGGCGCAAGGAGCCCUGGUCUGGGGAUGAAGCACCUCCUACUUUCUCACCAUAAAGUGCAAGGGAACAAAACUUCUCUAAACAUGUAUAGUCAAGCCAAACAAAUCCCUACAUUAGUCCUAUCCAAAGAAAAAAAUUUCAGUCUACAUCCCGAGUUCGAAAUCUUAUCUAUCAAGAGACCCAAGUCCCAUCUAACCUUCAAGAUUCAGUUCAAAUGCUACUUCCUUGGUCAACAUUUUCUUGAUAUACACCAUUUGAGGUGAAUUGACCUUUUUACACCUGGGACAAGACCCGCCUAUCACAUCAGGGCAAGCUGCAUGAAAGGAAAAAGUGAGAAAGAUAAACACCCAACUAGUAUUCAACAAAUAAAAUUCUUAGCCACAAAUCCAAAGGGAAGAGUAAAAGCUUUGAUUGGAAGGAGGCCAAAGGCAGGACCAACACGACCACACAAGCAUUCCAUGAAGUUGCUUGGAGAGACGUGAUUUUAAGGGCAACCAUGUGGUGCAGGCAAAGGGCUAGGAGUCAAAGACCCCAACGAUUCUUGCUGUCAGCUGUUCCAGCCUGCAGUGCUGCCAAGUGGUCAAGAGUUCAAUAAAGUCUUCUUAUAUCACUGGGUGGUUUGGCAAUGUGGGCAAACCUAGUAUUAUCACAGCCGUGAAA